UGAAUGACUCUUGACGACGGAUAUCUUGGCUCUUGCAUCGAUGAAGAACGCAGCGAAAUGUGAUAUGUCGUGUGAAUUGCAGAAUCCCGUGAACCAUUGAAUUUUUGAACGCACGUUGCGCCCAAUGCCAUUUAUAGGCUGAGGGCACGCCUGCCUGGGUGUCAUUC
rnacentral:rRNA from 1 species